CGGACCUCCCUCCAGGGAAGGUCGUGCUCGCUCACCGCAGCAGCUCCAGGCAGUAGCUGUCAGUGCCCCAGGCGCCCGGUCCGCCGGCCACAGCCACGCUCCGCCCAGACACCUCGGGCCCGGGCAGCCGCCGCACGCGAGCGUACAGACCCCGAGACGGCCGGCGGCAGCACAGGCCGGCGGCGCCGAGCCGCAGCUGCCCCAAGGCCAAGCCCUGCGCGGAGGCCGCCAUGACGCCGGCAGUGCUUGCCCUUUAACCCCACGCCGUCGGCGCGCGGCCACGCCCCGCCACGCCCCUGCAGGGCUCCCUGCCCGCCUUUGAGGCCGCCUCCGGACGCCGCUCGGAGGAGAGCCAGGUGUCGCUGUCGUCCUCUGCUUCUGGGCCGCCGCCGCGGCUCUUCGGCCUGGGUUCCAGGAACGACCCCGCCCAAGUUCCUUAAGGGCAGAGCCGUUAGUUUGUUUCCUACUUUACCCCUAAUGGCUGUCACUUGAAAAUUGUAGAAGCUGAAGUGCCUCGGUUCACAUAAAUACAAAGCAAACAUCUCAGCUUGCUCCACAGUCACUCAAGGGCCAGGCUGGAGUACAGUGGUGCGAUCUCGGCUCAC